UGCUAAUGAUGAAUAAUUUUUAUACCAUCUUUCGGCUGAUAACAAUUGAUGAAUAUUCUUUUCUGACCGCA